rnacentral:rRNA from 1 species
GACGGAGGGUGCUAGCGUUGUUCGGAAUUACUGGGCGUAAAGGGCGCGUAGGCGGCCAUGUAAGUCGGGCGUGAAAGCCCGGGGCUCAACCCCGGAACGGCACCCGAGACUGUGUGGCUCGAGACCGGAAGAGGUGAGUGGAAUACCCAGUGUAGAGGUGAAAUUCGUAGAUAUUGGGUGGAACACCGGUGGCGAAAGCGGCUCACUGGCCCGGUUCUGACGCUGAGGCGCGAAAGCGUGGGGAGCAAACAGG